GAAUGAUCAAGUUUCUUCUUUAGCAUAAACAUGCAGAAUUUGCUUGUAUUAAUUUGAAUUACCCAAUGUGGGAACAAGACACCAGAAAGCCACACCAAAAUUGUGCUCAUUGAUGAGCAAACUACAUAUAUCACAAGUUUAGGUCCACCCGCUAAUACUACACAGAAGUCAUGUAUUGCUAUUACAAUCUUAGGACGACUCUAAACUAAAAAAAUAAUAAUAAAAUUAAAGAAAGAGAAAAAACUACUAUCAAUGCUUUAGACGGGAGUAGUGAUUGUCAUUGGGAUUCCUCUUUCCACUGAAAACUGCUAAUGCCUGCCUUAUUGGUGGCCGGAAAGAAGAUCUUUUAUCAGUAUGGUGGUUGAAGAUGUUGUCCGAAGCAUAGAAAUCAUCUCCCUAUAUUAUUUGAUAAAUAUAUCAGCUUCAGGUUUUUUAAUAAACAGUAACUUUCAAAACAUAUUGGUGCAAACAAAUCUACUAAUGCAAAAACAGAUCAAAAUAAUGACAACAAAAAUGAAGGCACCCAACCUCUUUAUUUGUUUUCUUCUUUGUCUUAGGGUAAAGGAAUUUUUGUGGGAGCUGAUCUUCACGCAGAAUAAGGUUCUUAGCAAUGGCAUCCCUUCCACCUUGCGGUAAAGGCAAUGAAAACUGUAUGGAACAAAAUGUUGAUGCAUAUGUGCUCAGACAAGCUUACACAAAAUGAAAAUAGGACCAAAAACAAUUAAGUAUUCAUGCAUAUGCCUAAGCACACACAGGAGACAGAAGGAUAAAGACAUGGUGGACCCCACUCCAAGCAGAUUAGCUUUAAAUGCCUUGCAACCAAUCGAUAGGAACAAAUUUUCUUCCUAUCCUAUGCAAUUAGAAGCAUGUUAAUCGAAAAAUGCAAAUGCUUUCAUGCAUUCUACAUUUUGUAGAUAGUCUAAAGGAUGAAACUCUGCUUGCAUAAAAAAAAUGGCCACUUUUGACUUUCCCUCAAACAAACAUUAUAAACAAGUACUGGACAAGGCAAAAGCUGCAAAACACAAAAUGAGCAAAAAUACAAGAUAAUUUUGCUACACAAGCAUUUGCAUCAACCUAACAACAUAAAUUGAAACCAAGAUGCAAAAAGAACAGUAGAAAUUCCUCCUAUUUGUUCACAUGGUUUUUUCCAAGCUUUUUAAAUUAAGAGUACACUUACUUUUGUACCACGCAGAGUGAUUCGUGGCCGACGAUCUGCCAAAAUAAUUCCAUUCUCGCUUACUGUAACAGCUACCUUUCGUAAGGUGCCACCAUUUCCACACUUGGGACAGAACAUUCUCCCAAUUUCAGCAGUCACAGUAUAACAUGCAUGGCAUUUCAGUAUCCACCUGUGCAGCUGGCGGAUUUGCAUUCCUCCAGGUGCCAGUAGUCGUAAUCCCAUUUGCAGAAGUACAUUCUGCAUUGCAAAGUCACUAGUUACACAAGCUACACUGGAGUCUGAUAAAGAUUUAAGCGUCCAGCUCUGCUCACUAUCAUCAUCAUCCACAUGUGACACAUCAAUACUUUCACUGGUCUGGCUUAAGAUCUCCUGGUGAUCUAGUUCUCCAUUAGCAAUAUCAACUCUGGCUUUGAGAGCAGAAUUUACAUCAUUUUCAGAAGCAGCUUCCAAGGAAUCAGUAAACUCAAGCCCUGAAAAGGUACUGUUCUUUUCUUUCCCAUUUUGAAGAGCAUUCAAUGAACCUUCUUCCAGCCUCAUUUGCUCUAGGAUUGAAGUGAGAUCUUCAUCAUCUUUCUUCGUCUCGCCCUUCUCAGAAAUCCCAUUUCCAGCAUCUACUGUCUCAGGAUUUUGAUGCAACAGUGGAUCUGGGAUGGUAGUUUCAUUAGUAUUGUUGUUAUCCAUAUUUUUACCCAGAUCUUGCUGACUAUCUUUUUCAGACAAUGCCUCGUAAUAUUCACGCCUAGCUUUCCUUCUAAGAUAUCUUCGAUGAGUACUUCGACUGACAGCAGGCAUCCAAUCACCAGCAUCAUCGUCAAAGUGUCCCUGAGAUGCAUCAAUUCCAUCAGAUACCAUCUUCUUCCCAUCAAGACUUAUCUCUUUUUUCUUCUUUGGAUAUCUCCUAUGUUUCCUAGAACCAUGUUCAACAGUUUCGUGUUUCUCAGAAUGUGUUUCACUUUCAGCUACCAUUGAACCAUCUUCAGAUUGAUCAUCACCAGGGAUAACAUUCAAGCUCAUCUCUUUCAAGGGAAGUAUCCUUGAAUGUGUGUUUGAUCCAUCCCCAGCUUCUUGUUCUAAUGUCUCCCAUUCUUCCAAAUUGGGAACAUUAGAACCCCACCCGGGCAUGUCCUUCUCAGGAAGUCUCUUCACAUUAACUGUAUGUAUAGGAGGAGGAGCAUCCCUAACAUGUUUGGUUCCAUGGAUCUGUGCCUCUAAUGUGUAAGUUAGGGCAAUGAGUUUGAGAUCAACAUCUGACAGGGUCUGCAAGUCACCAGUUGCCCUUGCAAAUUUGACAACUUUGUUGAGAGCUUCAGGGGUGGGCUCCAUGGAAUCGAUUGUGAAGGGAAAGAAAGAAAGACGGUGGCGGGAGACGGGAUCACGAAUCUCGGCGAGGACUUCAGGGACGGUAACGAACUUGUCGGCCAAGUUAUGGAGCUUUUCUCCACCUUCGAUUACGGCGUUUGCAUCUAUUACUGCCAUCGAAAUGCCCAUCGUGGACUUGCAGCUUUCGACCAAUAGUUGAUUUGUCGCAUUGGGGUUUUGCUUGUUUUCCGGUGGAGGUUGGUUUUUGACUACGUUGCUCCAACAUGAAGACGUUGGUAAGGACAGAGACUGUGAGGUCUCCAUGGCCAUGCCUCACAGAGUAUAGGCGAUUAUGGAGUAUGGACUAUGCUCUGUGAAAUACAAAACCCUAGCUAUUAGCAAAA
rnacentral:misc_RNA from 1 species